UGGGGAAUAUUGCACAAUGGGCGCAAGCCUGAUGCAGCCAUGCCGCGUGUAUGAAGAAGGCCUUCGGGUUGUAAAGUACUUUCAGCGGGGAGGAAGGGAGUAAAGUUAAUACCUUUGCUCAUUGACGUUACCCGCAGAAGAAGCACCGGCUAACUCCGUGCCAGCAGCCGCGGUAAUACGGAGGGUGCAAGCGUUAAUCGGAAUUACUGGGCGUAAAGCGCACGCAGGCGGUGUGUUAAGUCAGAUGUGAAAUCCCCGGGCUCAACCUGGGAACUGCAUCUGAUACUGGCAAGCUUGAGUCUCGUAGAGGGGGGUAGAAUUCCAGGUGUAGCGGUGAAAUGCGUAGAGAUCUGGAGGAAUACCGGUGGCGAAGGCGGCCCCCUGGUCUGUAACUGACGCUGAUGUGCGAAAGCGUGGGGAUCAAACA
rnacentral:rRNA from 1 species